rnacentral:rRNA from 1 species
GAUGAACGCUGGCGGCGUGCCUAAUACAUGCAAGUCGAGCGAACGGACGAGAAGCUUGCUUCUCUGAUGUUAGCGGCGGACGGGUGAGUAACACGUGGAUAACCUACCUAUAAGACUGGGAUAACUUCGGGAAACCGGAGCUAAUACCGGAUAAUAUUUUGAACCGCAUGGUUCAAAAGUGAAAGACGGUCUUGCUGUCACUUAUAGAUGGAUCCGCGCUGCAUUAGCUAGUUGGUAAGGUAACGGCUUACCAAGGCAACGAUGCAUAGCCGACCUGAGAGGGUGAUCGGCCACACUGGAACUGAGACACGGUCCAGACUCCUACGGGAGGCAGCAGUAGGGAAUCUUCCGCAAUGGGCGAAAGCCUGACGGAGCAACGCCGCGUGAGUGAUGAAGGUCUUCGGAUCGUAAAACUCUGUUAUUAGGGAAGAACAUAUGUGUAAGUAACUGUGCACAUCUUGACGGUACCUAAUCGGAAAGCCACGGCUAACUACGUGCCAGCAGCCGCGGUAAUACGUAGGUGGCAAGCGUUAUCCGGAAUUAUUGGGCGUAAAGCGCGCGUAGGCGGUUUUUUAAGUCUGAUGUGAAAGCCCACGGCUCACCCGUGGAGGGUCAUUGGAAACUGGAAAACUUGAGUGCAGAAGAGGAAAGUGGAAUUCCAUGUGUAGCGGUGAAAUGCGCAGAGAUAUGGAGGAACACCAGUGGCGAAGGCGACUUUCUGGUCUGUAACUGACGCUGAUGUGCGAAAGCGUGGGGAUCAAACAGGAUUAGAUACCCUGGUAGUCCACGCCGUAAACGAUGAGUGCUAAGUGUUAGGGGGUUUCCGCCCCUUAGUGCUGCAGCUAACGCAUUAAGCACUCCGCCUGGGGAGUACGACCGCAAGGUUGAAACUCAAAGGAAUUGACGGGGACCCGCACAAGCGGUGGAGCAUGUGGUUUAAUUCGAAGCAACGCGAAGAACCUUACCAAAUCUUGACAUCCUUUGACAACUCUAGAGAUAGAGCCUUCCCCUUCGGGGGGGCAAAGUGACAGGUGGUGCAUGGUUGUCGUCAGCUCGUGUCGUGAGAUGUUGGGUUAAGUCCCGCAACGAGCGCAACCCUUAAGCUUAGUUGCCAUCAUUAAGUUGGGCACUCUAAGUUGACUGCCGGUGACAAACCGGAGGAAGGUGGGGAUGACGUCAAAUCAUCAUGCCCCUUAUGAUUUGGGCUACACACGUGCUACAAUGGACAAUACAAAGGGCAGCGAAACCGCGAGGUCAAGCAAAUCCCAUAAAGUUGUUCUCAGUUCGGAUUGUAGUCUGCAACUCGACUACAUGAAGCUGGAAUCGCUAGUAAUCGUAGAUCAGCAUGCUACGGUGAAUACGUUCCCGGGUCU